CAAUUACUACUAAACUUCAAUCAUCUUUACUCCACCAUAAAUCUUACAUGCAACUAAUCAUGUAGGACACACAAAAUUUUUACUCCAGGAUAAAAUUUGUGCGCAGACACAAAAAAAUCACAUGUGAGUGCAAAUCUUGGGAGGAGUCUAGCUGCGUGAAAGAAGUACCAGCCUGCAAACAAGAACAAAGGCAGUCUAAAUACUCAGGUACCAGGAAAUCAACCCAGAAAACCAACUCAAUCAAUUUAUGUACUGGAUCAUAUGCCAACACAUUUUCAUAGAUCCCUAUUAAAUACUGGUGCCAUCAUCUCCACAAACCGGGAAAAAAAAUUCUAAGAGACCUGGUCUUUUUUACACUGUCCAAGGAAUGCCACGUCUCAACACGAAUCACAAAGCACCCUGGGUCUUGGGUCUUCUUCCUCGGACAACGACUUCGUUCUUUUUCCCUGAUGGAAUCUUCCAGUUUAUUGCUUGGUCAGUACUCAGUAGUUAGUAGCAUCCUUCACGAGUAAUACCCCGACACGCCAUCUCACACAGCUCCAUCCUCCCCUCAGAUCUAGAAGUACUUCGAUCCCCAAAGCUCUUAGCUCGUUAUGUCAUGGCCCUCAUGCAUCCUUUCCUCUCACGAAACUCCUCAGCUAAAAAAUAAAAAAUUAGUCUGUUUGUCUACGUACUUGUUUAAAUCAAUUUGACAGAUCAACAAUUAAAUGGUCUUAUCUUAAGCAGUUUAAUUGAUCGAUCUGCACAUGUGAUUGUGAUUAAUUAGUAGCUGCGAUAAGCUAAUACAGACAUACAGCAGGCCACGGAGUAAAGCAGCAUGCGCAGGAAGGCCUUCCCUCGGCCGGCAUGGGGGCUCAGCCUCUACAUGCGUUAGUGGAGAACAUGGCAGCCGUAAUUUUGACAAGGAUGAGAAGCAGCCGGCUACAGAAUUAUUUUCCAAACCCACAAACCCGUGUGAGUUGCAACCUCCAUAAACAGAAUGGCCUUGUUGUUCACUGAAGAGGGAGAGUAGCAGUAGCUAUACCUGGUGCGGCACUGCGACUCUGUGGAUUGUUCGAGUCCUCAUCGGCGUUGACCACAUCCGAAACCUAGACGGCCAUGUGUUUAUGAAGCCCGUGUACACCAUCCUGCUCACACCGCUGGCGCGGCGAGCUCGGCGGUUGGGGAGAGGAGGACUCGGCCACGAGGUGGUAGAGGAACGGGAAGGCAUCGCCGCUGGCGGCGGAGGUGUGGUCCACCUAGCCCUCCAUCGAUUUUCUCCCCUGGACCCUGCUUGCUUUGGACCUGGGACUGGGAGCUGAAGACCAGAGGACUGAGACAAAGAAAUAAGCGGAGGCCGCGUCGUCGCAGAUUGGCGGGGAGUGUCGCAACGUGGAGGUGGUCCACUGGAGACGGGCACGGCGGCAUGGCCGGUCAAGAAGCGGAGAUGCAGUAACAACGAGCGACGGCUGUGCAGAUGUUGAUUGCGCUGCAGAUAUUGAUUUCGACCAGCCAAGUCUGCCUCCCCUGCUACCUCGAUCAGCCGCGCUGCCUUCAUACGUCGCCGCCGCCGCACGUCGUUCCAGGAGAGAGGAUCAAGGAGAGAAAUUAUGCAGGCUUAGAAGAGAGAAGAAACUGGUACCUCGCUUCCACCGUCCGCCGAUGCUCGACACUUGAUUUCUCACGCCGCAACAGAAGAAGAGACGAGAUGGCGGACAGAAUAGGGUUUCUUCGGUGUACUCAUUGUGCCCAUCUGAGCGGUGCUCCUGGAGAUGCUCCGUAUCAUGGCAUCAUCUCCUGCUCUCCCAUCAAAGGAGAAAUUUCCGCUGGCGUCCAAGGGCGCGGGGGACAGGAUAGAUUACCGCAUGAUUGACGUGAAUUGAGAUUGAUUACCAAAGAAAGGGAUUAAUUACCAUACAGAAAUUGAUUGUUUUGCCAAAUAUGGACCGAAAGAAAAACUGAUCGAGGGGUGAGGGAUAGCGAACGGAAAGGGAUGGAUGAAGAGUGUCGGACGUAAGACGGACGGAACCUUACGGUUCUUUUAAGUAGUAGAGAUUUCCAAAAUUUUUAAGAACUUUGGGAAUUAUUAGAAUUCAA
rnacentral:lncRNA from 1 species